rnacentral:rRNA from 1 species
UACGUAGGGACCGAGCGUUGUCCGGAAUCAUUGGGCGUAAAGAGCGUGUAGGCGGCCACUUAAGUCCUGCGUGAAAUCUUGCGGCUCAACCGCAAGCGGUCGUGGGAAACUGGGUGGCUAGAGUGCGGGAGAGGAGAGUGGAAUUCCCGGUGUAGCUGUGAAAUGCGCAGAUAUCGGGAAGAACACCCGUGGCGAAGGCGGUUCUCUGGGACGGUACUGACGCUGAGACGCGAAAGCGUGGGGAGCGAACAGG